UGGGGAAUUUUGGACAAUGGGCGAAAGCCUGAUCCAGCAAUGCCGCGUGUGUGAAGAAGGCCUUCGGGUUGUAAAGCACUUUUGUCCGGAAAGAAAUCCUUGGCUCUAAUACAGUCGGGGGAUGACGGUACCGGAAGAAUAAGCACCGGCUAACUACGUGCCAGCAGCCGCGGUAAUACGUAGGGUGCAAGCGUUAAUCGGAGUUACUGGGCGUAAAGCGUGCGCAGGCGGUUUGCUAAGACCGAUGUGAAAUCCCCGGGCUCAACCUGGGAACUGCAUUGGUGACUGGCAGGCUAGAGUAUGGCAGAGGGGGGUAGAAUUCCACGUGUAGCAGUGAAAUGCGUAGAGAUGUGGAGGAAUACCGAUGGCGAAGGCAGCCCCCUGGGGCCAAUACUGACGCUCAUGCACGAAAGCGUGGGGGAGCAAACAGGAUUAGAUACCCUGGUAGUCCACGCCCUAAACGAUGUCAACUAGUUGUUGGGGAUUCAUUUCCUUAGUAACGUAGCUAACGCGUGAAGUUGACCGCCUGGGGAGUACGGUCGCAAGAUUAAAACUCAAAUGAAUUGACGGGGUCAUAGCUGUUUCCU
rnacentral:rRNA from 1 species